CAGUCGCCACGGGAAUACAGAGGGUGCGAGCGUUAAUCGGAUUUACUGGGCGUAAAGCGUGCGUAGGCGGCUUUUUAAGUCGGAUGUGAAAUCCCUGAGCUUAACUUAGGAAUUGCAUUCGAUACUGGGAAGCUAGAGUAUGGGAGAGGAUGGUAGAAUUCCAGGUGUAGCGGUGAAAUGCGUAGAGAUCUGGAGGAAUACCGAUGGCGAAGGCAGCCAUCUGGCCUAAUACUGACGCUGAGGUACGAAAGAAUGGGGAGCAAACAGGAUUAGAUACCCCGGUAGUCCCUGUCUCUUAUAC
rnacentral:rRNA from 1 species